rnacentral:lncRNA from 1 species
GUAGACCUUGAAAAUGGACAAAGUUGGAACCUGGGGCUUCCCGGAGGAGAAAGGCAACCACUUAUGGAGUCUUCAAAUUGGCCCUAAAAACUGCAAUUAGUGCUCUUGCACCAAGGAUUUAUGAGCAGCAGAAUAUCCUAUUUGCCUACACAUGUGCAGAGCUGAAGUCAGCUUCUCCCAUUUUUGGAUGAUCGAAUCUCUGCGCCUUCUGCAUCAGAAGAGGAGCACAUGUAGUUUGCUGAGAUUUUCUCAUUGAGGUGCUGCCGUUGGAAGCAGACGAUCGUCUAGGAAGGGAAGAAGUCGGGAUGCUGUGUAUUACCAGGUAUUUUUUGGUUCUCCUUAAACAUGAAUAAAUUUAUCCUAAACUUUGUCUUUCUCCCUUCC